AAAACCGUAGCUAUAUAUAUUUUCUUAGUUUUAAAAUUCUGUCUUUAGUCUUUACCAAGAACCCUUUUUUGUUUCCAUAGCUGAAGAACAAGCCAACACUUUCCUUCAGUUAUACACAAUCCACAUUCUUCAUCAUGUUCAUCGAACUAGAUUGUCCUGCUAGUGUGCGAAAGCAACUUGGAAAACUGUUUGCUGAAGCUCUCAAACAAACUGUGCCUACUGAACCUGAUAUUGUGCCUUUGAUUGAUGCAUGCAUUGCAAAAGACGGUGUAAAACAUGCUGAUUAUCAAUGUAAUAAUGCAAUGAGUCUUUUUGCUAAGAUUAAAGGGAAGCAAGAAGAGUUCAAAAGUCCACGUUCACUUGGAGAGGGCAUUAUGAAAAAUCUUCCUCCAUCAGAAAUGAUAGAAUCAUGCUCUGUUGCUGGUCCUGGAUUUGUGAAUAUUGUCUUAUCAAAGAAGUGGAUAGCACAGAGACUACAAAAGAUGCUUACAGACGGUAUUGAUUCCUGGGCACCUCGACUUCCAAUCAAGAGGGUUUUGGUUGACUUUUCCUCACCUAAUAUAGCAAAAGAAAUGCAUGUUGGUCACCUGAGGUCAACCAUUAUUGGGGACACGUUGUCACGAAUGCUUGAGUUUUGCCAGCCUGAAUGUCUGAUCCGCCGAAAUCAUAUUGGUGACUGGGGCACUCAGUUCGGAAUGCUGAUUCAAUACCUCUUUGAGACAUAUCCAAACCCAGACGAUGUUAAUGAAUCUGAUAUUGGAGAUCUACAGACAUUCUAUAAGGCAUCAAAAUCAAAGUUUGACAAGGAUGCUGAUUUUAAGUUAAAUGCACAGCAGUCAGUGGUCAAGCUCCAGGGAGGGGAUCCCAAGUAUCGCAAGGCAUGGGAGCAAAUUUGCAAUAUUAGUAGGACUGAGUUUAAGAAGGUCUAUCAACGCCUUGGAAUUCGUUUGGAGGAAAUGCCAGAGAGCUUCUAUAAUGAAUUAAUCCCUCCAACUUUGGAGAAACUGGAUCAAUUAGGGCUGAUUGAAGACAGUGAUGGUGCUCGUGUGAUAUUUGUUGACGGUGUAGACAUACCACUAAUUGUUGUGAAAAGAGACGGAGGCUACAACUACUUUUCAACCGAUCUAGCAGCACUUUGGUAUCGUCUGAAUAUCGAAAAGGUUGAUUGGAAUAUAUAUGUUACAGAUUUUGGGCAGUCGCAACAUUUUGACAUGCUUUUUAAGGCCUUCAAGCGUGCAGGGUGGCUUCCAGAAGACAAAAAUGAAUAUCCAAUAUGCACUCAUAUAGGUUUCGGUCUUGUUCUUGGCGUGGAUGGAAAACGAUUACGGAGUUCCUCCGGCGAUACUAUUCGAUUGGUUGAUUUACUCAAUGAAGCUACAGAACAGAGUAAAACUGCCCUUCUUAAACGUGGUAAUGCUAAAGAGUGGUCAAAGGAAGAGAUUGAGAAAGCAUCAGAGGCAAUUGGAUAUGGGGCUGUUAAGUAUGCUGACUUGAAGAACAAUAAAACAACGAAUUACACGUUCAGCUUUGAGCAGAUGCUUAAUGACAAGGGGAAUACUGCUGUUUAUUUGAUGUAUGCACAUGCUAGGAUCUGUUCCAUUAUCAGGAAAUCUGGUAAAGACAUAGAAGAACUAAAAAAGACUGGGACUAUGGUGUUGGAUCAUGAAAACGAGCGCACAUUGGCUCUUCAUUUACUGCAAUUUACAGAGGUUUUUGUGGAGGCAUGCUCGAAUUUGUUACCAAAUGUAUUGUGUGAAUACCUAUACAAUUUGGCGGAAAUCUUCACAAAGAAAUUCUAUUCUAAUUGUCAGGUUGUUGGGUCGCCGGUGGAAACUAGUCGACUCUUGUUAUGCGAAGCAACACUUGUUGUGAUGAGACAUUGCUUCUAUCUCCUUGGAAUUGAACCAGUUGACAAGUUAUGAGCUAUCUGAAUGAAGAGUUAUACUUCAAUUUUUAGUGCAUAGAAGAAGUGUAGGAAGCUUCUAAUAUGAAAUCAAUAGUAUAUAUAUAAAAGUAUUGUUGAUGAUGUUAAAGUUUUGAGCUGGAAACGUAUUUAGCAAGGACAAAAGUAUUUCCGUGUUUAUUUUAUGAGUGGUAUUGGAAUCCCGGAGAGUGUCUCCUACAUUGAUCAUGGGGGCUGCUAAGGUUGGUCUCGGUUUUCUCCCAAAAGCCAUUUUUUGUGUAUCCUUGGGGAUUGGUUUUCUCGGCUUCUGGUUUAGCUCUAGGAGGGGCAGUUUUUCUGUUUUG